rnacentral:rRNA from 1 species
UACGGGGGGGGCAAGCGUUGUUCGGAAUUACUGGGCGUAAAGCGCGCGUAGGUGGCUUCGUAAGUCCGUUGUGAAAGUCAAAGGCUCAACCUUUGAAUGCCGAUGGAUACUGCGGAGCUAGAGUACGGAAGAGGCGAGUGGAAUUCCUGGUGUAGCGGUGGAAUGCGCAGAUAUCAGGAGGAACACCAAUAGCGAAGGCAGCUCGCUGGGACGUUACUGACACUAAGGCGCGAAAGCGUGGGGAGCGAACAGG